rnacentral:rRNA from 1 species
UACGUAGGGGGCGAGCGUUGUCCGGAAUUAUUGGGCGUAAAGAGCGUGUAGGCGGUCCGGUAAGUCCGCCGUGAAAACCUGGGGCUCAACCCCGGGCGUGCGGUGGAUACUGCUGGGCUAGAGGGUGGUAGAGGCGAGUGGAAUUCCCGGUGUAGCGGUGAAAUGCGUAGAUAUACGGAGGAACACCAGAGGCGAAGGCGGAUCGCUGGGCCAACACUGACGCUGAUGUGCGAAAGCUAGGGGAGCAAACGGG